GUGGUCAGUGGUUUUCUGAGAUGAAGAGGCGAUCACUGAUGAUGAUGAAAUCUGGGGAUUGGUGGAGGUGGACUUGGCAAGCUGCCAACCUGUCAUCCAAUGUGAGGCCCCAGGAGUGCGACCAGUGCACCACUGGGCAACACUCUUCAUGGCGAACUGGGCUUCUAGGGACGUGAAUACAGACACAGCAACAAAAAGUUCCAUGUACUGUGCUGGCACCUUGGAGAAGUAGAAACAGUUGGCUGCUGUCAGGGUUCGUGGGGGCAAGGAGUGGUAGACUUCAAGAUGCUGAUGUUGGGUAUGCCUGCUGAGAUCCGCGGGAUAACGGAAGAGAUGCUCAGCCUUAAUGCACCAUGGACACAGCAAUUCGCAGGACUGGUGCGCUUUGAUGGUGUGGUGCACCACAUCCCGGUGACAAGAAAUAAAACGCAUUGCGGACCUCACGUCUACGCAAUCUCAUUGCAAAAAUGAAAAGCCUCGUACAAAACUUAAGACAAAUCUCCUGUGGUUGAUCAGGCCACUGAAUUGUCGUCCGGACUAUCAGGCUGACCCGAGCAAGCGAGUGGAUUUCUUCAAGCUGCUCACGAAGCUCUUUCACGUAGUCAUCUGUGGCCUCCAAGUCAGUGUUGCCCGAGUCUUGCGGUGGAAGACCGAUGAAUGCCUGAACAGCAAGCUGAUCCGGGAUGGCUAUGGCCUCUGUCCAAUGAGUGAACAAAUCAGAGAUCACUAGAACAUACGUGUUGCCUUUUUCGCUGCGAGGCAGAGGACCUAGAAUGUCAAGAGCGACUCUUUCUAGAGGGGCGAGGACAGGCUGAGAACCAAGUGGAGCCUUCUUUGGCUUAGGUGGUUUUCGGGCGCCACAGCUGUGACAUUGACUGCAAUAUUUUUCCACAUCGGUAGUCAUACCAGUCCAAUAAAAAGUCUGGCGGAGUUUAUCAAGCAUCUUGUCAGUACCCAAAUGUGCUGAGGAAGGAAUGUCGUGCAUGUACCUCAUCAACUCCUGGCGCCUUAUUGCAGGUACAAUGACCUGGCGUGAAGAUUUGUUCUUCUCAAACCAAGAACGCAUUAGACAUCCAUCAGUGAUAGAAAGCCGGUCCCACAUUCGCCAGAGACUUUUGACACACUCACUCUGAGUUGAGAUUUGUUGCCAAGAAGGGCGGAUAGAUGACCUUUCUAGUGACUGUAUUAUGAAGAGCAGCGAAGGAUCUAACUUUUGUUGUGAAUUGAUAUCACCCAAGGACCACUGUUGAACUGGGUAGGAUGUCUGUUUGAAGACAAUCAAUGGAUCAUUCUGACUUCUUGUGAUCAUUCGCACAGUGUCAGUGUUAACCACUGGAGAUGUUUCUUCUCCACAUGGAGUGUCGUCAUUUAUCAAGUUUUCAUGUGUGAAAGUCUCCGUGAUCCCUUGUUGUUUGGCACACCUACUGCAUGGAGCUCGUGACAAGGCAUCUGCAUUCCUAUGUUGUGUCCCGGGCCGAUGUACAACAGUGAAAUCGUAUGUUCCCAAGAUCUGUAACCAUCUGGCGACCUGACCUGUUGGCUGUUUUAGGUUGCGCAUCCAAGACACAGCUGCAUUGUCAGUCCUUACAAGAACAGACUGCCCAUAGAGAAAAUGAUGAAAGGCGUUGAAGGCGUUUAAUACAGCGAGAAGUUCUUUUCGAGUCACACAGUACUGUUGCUCAUGUAUGUUGAGGCUUUUGCUGUGAUAGGCAAUCACAACCUCCUUGUCAUUUUGCAGUUGUGACAAGACAGCACCCGUUGCAAAGUCGCUUGCGUCAGUGUCGAGGACAAACGGGGCGUCAUGGACUGGAUAUCCGAGAAUGGGUGAUGUCGUCAGUGAGGUUUUGAGGUGCUGAAAAGCACGCUCGCAUUCCUCAGUCCAAUGAAAAGCAGUACCCUUGUCAGAUAUUUUAUGCAGGGGCCUUGCAAUUUGUGCAAAACCAGACACAAAUCGACGGUAGUAUGAGCAUAGUCCAAGAAAAGAUUUGACCUCCUUGACAUUUCUUGGAGUUGACCAAUCUCUCACAGCUGAUAUCUUUGCUGGAUCGGUGGCAACACCUUCUUCCGAAACUAAGUGCCCAAGAAAUUUAA